CAUUUGCCUGCAGAGGUGAUGUGGGGUGGUGAGACAUGAGGCUCAAGCCAAGGUUUAACCAAUGAUGCUGUCAGUGGCAGUUGGUGAACGCAGUUUAUGGGCCAGCACUCCCAUGAACUGCCUGAAGCUGGAAAAGGUCUGCAUGGGGUGACCACUGCACAGGGGCACUGGCUCCUGCUGGGGAAACUGUAGGUAAAAUGAAUGACAAAGGGUGAAAAGUGUUCCUGGUCAUCACUCCCCUUUAAUGACUCCUGGCAAGUGAUCCUAGGCUGCCUCUGACUCAUACUGAAUCCAGUCCAUUCUCAACUAAAGUCUUUUAGUGAUGAACAUUAUUAAAUCAGGAAAACUGGGAUGAAAUGAGAUCUGGAUCAUAAAGCUGGGAAAUGGCUGGCAAUUUCUAAGCUCUUUUGGGGUCCCCAAUUCUGCAUGUUCUCCCAUGAAUCCAAGAAGGGCUGGACUUUAACUUGAUGAUGCCAACUCUGUCCUGCAGCAAGAGCCAGAGUGCUGCUGCAUGUAUUGAUUCACCUAAGCAAUUUCUGACUUUUGGAAAUUACAUUAAGCUCUGAGAGCAGCAACUUUGGCAAGCCAUGAACAGAUCAACAAUGGGAUGAAAAGCCUCUGAACUGCAAAAACAACCUCACUUGCACCUUCUCCAAUUCUUCUGUUUUUGCAGAAGUGCCUCCUUCUGUGGGCUUUUGCAAUUACCUCUCAUUAGCCAUUGACAAUAAAGGAAGAGAAGGCAUAAAUUAGAAGCAUGAAUCAUGCCCCAAUUUAGCCUGUCUCUUCUGCUAAUAAAAAGCAUAUGCUUCUCAGAUACUCCUCUGCAUUAAAGCUGGGAAGGGAGGCAGCAGGAUGAACGAGGCAAAGCUGAACCAUGCAGGCUUUUGCAAUGAAAUUGAAACAAUUUUCCUUUAAAUAAAAGAAUUCUCAAUUAGAAUUUUAUUCUGUCUCUGUUUUGUAUCAGGUAUGUGCCCAAACUAGUCCUCCAUUCCCAAACAUGUGCGAGGAAAACUUGGUUUCUGGUGAAGUAUCUAUGUGUCUCAGUUAACUGUGUGGCUCUGCAGAUUGUGAUUAAGCAAAUUUUAUAUAAUCUGCAUUUUACAGAUGAGGGAAUAGGAAUGCCCUCAAUAUGGUUCAUGGGAAGAUCUGUAUGAGAUUAUUGCAGCAGCAGGAAACUCACCUGUAAAACCUGAGAGAAACAAAAGCAAGGCAGUACAUAGUGUGCUUGCUAAACUGCUCUAUUUCUCUUCUUAUGCUGCUGCUAACAUAUCAGAAGAAUCUCUCAUUUGAGUAUGUGCUAAAAAUUUAGCCUCUGGAAAAAUGUCAUGGCACAAUUCCUUGCUUUACAACACCCAGAAAUCCCAAAGUGUGCCGAGAGAUAUGGGCAGUGGUGUGUGGUGAGCUGGCGGGGAGUACAGCAGGGAGGAAACGCAAUGAAUGUAGUAGAUCUUUGUCCCCUGUCCUUCCAGUGAAGUUAACCAAAGCCCCAGCAAUGCCCUGCCUGAUGUGAUUGCAACAAAGCAGCAGCAUUUGCCCAGAAUAAGCAAUGAAACUUAAGCAAGAGUUCUGAGGUAUAAUUAGCAGCAUUUUGAGAAAGUGUCCGUACCCUGCCCCAAAGGCCAAAGCAGUUCCUCUCUUCCAAGAGAAGCAAAAACCAGGCAAACCAAGAAAAGUUGCUUUCAGACAGUGUAUUUUUGCACUCUAUCUUCAAUGCAGAAAAUAUACCGAAGCUAAAGUAACCCAAAAAGGACAGUUUCUGGAUACCAAAAAGCAGGCCCUGUCCUGGUGUUCUCCAGCUAUGCAAACGCCAGCCACACAGGCAGCUGCUGCUGAGAGGAAAGGAAGUGAAGUUGUGAAAGCUGGAGUCUUCUCCAGGGGCUUUUCUCAUCCAAAGCCCCUUCACUUUGCUGGAAACCUUCCCUUUGACUUCAUCUGCCUUUGGAUCUGGCCUUCUGGUGUCCCAAAGGCUUCUGAGAGCCUUGGGAGGGAAAUAGCAGCAGGGAUGAGCCUUUCCUGCUGCACAGCUGGUGGAAGAGGAGCCCUGUGGUAACUGCAGGGUGAUAACAAGCAGAACAAUUCAGAUUAAACAUCCACAAAUCCACAUGGCUAACACAGCUCAGGCCAGCAGCACCAGAUAAUGAAAGUUAUUAUAUGAAAUGCAGCCCUUAUUUUAGAAGUUAAUACUCAUCUUUAUCUACUCUAAGUUCUUUCUGUGAAAACUGUGAAUGCUCCAUCCUUUCCACAGCCACUUCAGGCCUGCUGCACGGAGUGCAUAAUACGCUGAUAGUUAAGGUUUUGUUCAAUUUUAUACUUGAAAGGCUGAGUCCUAGGCUCUAAUCUGCUGAAGCCUGCCACUUUUGGGGGUGAGACCAUGCAGUGAGCUCUGAGGUUAGAAACCAGCAAAAGCUCUUUGGAUGCUUGGGAACUAAGUGCUGGCACUGAUUGCACAGGCACAUUUUUAGGAAGGGACUAAAGAAAUUUCUGUUGAGUAUUUUUGGUAGCACUGGUCGGUUCUGCCAUGGGGCAGUCGUUCUCUUAAGAGCCCUGUGCUCCUUCCCUUUGUUCUGCUUUCAUUUCUUGUCUGGGUCCUGGGAGCUUGGUGUUUUCUGCUUCCAUCUGUGCCAGUUCUUAGAAAUAAGCAUCAGAUCCCACGGUGUCUUUGGGACCCUGCAUUACCGCAUGAGGGCUCUUGCAGCCCUUCAGACCCUGCAGUCUCGUGGCUCGUCCUGCUGUGGAGAAGAAGCCAUCCUUUUCAACCGAGAGGCAACAGUGUCAGCUGGGCCGUAAAACAAACCACGUGUUUCUCCCCAUUCAGAAAUUGUACAAGAAUUCCCAGGCUAGCUUAUUAACUGAUAAAUACUAAUAUCAUCACCUGUCAUGGGAAAAAAGGAGGAGGCUUUAAAACGAUCUCCUGGGAAAUACAAGAGCCUGCGCCACGUGAGUGGAGCCGGAUGUGUGGAUCCAGCAGGUUAAUUUUAUUUCCUUUGUUAUGAUAGUUAAAAAGCAUAGUGAAAUCCCUGCUAAAUUCAACCAUUUUUGGAUCCUUCAGAGUAACAGAUUUAAAUCUUAAAUUGUGCUGGAGCUUCUUUUGGAACAGGGAUAGUUGUUUCUGGAAGUGCUACAGGAACUUGCCCCAGGCAGGUGCUCUCCCUUCCAGUCCUUAGUCACAGCCACAGAGCACUGCAGCUUGUUCUUGUAAAGUAUGCAGGGACAAAAUUUGCCUGGCUGGAGAACAUCCAUCCCACGGAAAAGGGAGUUUAAUAUUCACUGAGUGCUAUUCAUCAACUCUGAAGUCCCCACUUUUGGAGAUUAAUUGAUUCAUUCCUUCCGUUGCCCAGGACAAGUGCUGCGGACUCCUUGCGCUCUCUAGGCUGCACAUCCCACUCAGCAGGCAUUAGCAUGCCAGCAGGGUUUAUUUUUUUUACCUUCCCCCAUUAGAUAACCUUCAGCCAGCCGGGAAGAGGGCCUGGGAAUGGGGGAGCAGGUAACAAGGCAGCCAGAAGCUUCCCAUGGACUCUGGACGUGGCAGAGAUGUGGACAAUCCACUCGUGAAAAGAUUUCCUUUCCUAUCCCAUUUCUAGUUACGUUCAUGUGAGAGAAGGGCAUAAACCCCAAAUGUCCGCAAAUAAGCAAGGAUAAGUUUGCUAUAAAAUUAGUGAGGGUAAAAAAAAUAAAAUAAGAAAGCAAUAAUGACUUGGAUACUGGCGUUGGGAUCUACACACGUACUGAGAGAAGGAUGUUUUGUCUGUGCGUACCCUGGGGGUAUUCAUCUGCUGAGAAACAUUUUCUACUGCAAGCUGGAAAUGGUUUGAAAUGCCUGCAGGAUCGCAGCCAGCUCCCCAUCUUCUGCUCCUCCUCCUCGCUGUCCCUCUGGGCUGUCUGUCCAGAGGAGAAAUGCAGAGGGAUGGGAAGCUGCUCCUGCUGCCUCACCUGGCCAUGUCCCCUAAGAGCUGGCUCCCUGGGACAGUCUCUGGGUGCACCAGUGGCAUCUCCUGCUCUCUGCACCUGUUGGCAAGAAGUUCAUAUGGCUGUUAGCACUUCUGGAGGAAAACGUUAAUAUUUGCACGCUCUACCAGGCUGAUCAAGCAUCUAAUGCUCAGCAGGUAGGAGAAGAAAUGAGAGGAGACAGAAAAAAUUGAUUCAGAGACCUCAGAACAGUGAAUCUUCCCAUCAGUGACCACUGGACCAGAGUUUCUUUGUAGCUGGCCUGGCACAGAGACUUGAAACCAGCCAGCUGGGGAUCAUAACCAUUGCAUACAGCACCAGGGCGGCAGCUCUGCUUGCAUUUUGGAGGGGUUGCACACAGAGACGCAGAAAACAUAGCACCAUAAGGCUCCUUAGCAACUUUUACAAACCAAGGACAUUUAAAGCAGUCCGAGGUUUGCUUUGUUUUGUACCAGUGGCAGAUUUGGCCUUUAGCCCGUGCCAGAAUCAGGAAGAGUGGAAAAAAGUCUCUGGUUUGUCUUUGCCUUCCUGCAAUACCUACACUGAACAGCUCUUUACUCCGUUAAAUCCAAUUUCCUCAGUACUAUUUCUGGUAUAAAAGUAAAGGGUCAUUGAAGUUACAGUGAUUGCAAAACCAGUGUAAAAGUGAGGAAAAUUAAGCCUGUUCAUCUCUUAGCCAGUGUGCAAUUUUUAGCUGGAGCGAGCAUAUUGCCACAAACUUGUCAGCAAACAAAAUGAACAGCGAUCAGAAAUACCUGGGGAGAAUGUGCUUACUGGUGUGUGAAAUGCCUCGGCCGUCACUCAAGCAAUCCUUGCAGCUCCAAGGACAAACGAGCAGCGGCUGUGUGGUUGCAUUUCAGGACACGAGCCCAUGUUGAGCUGUUCCUUCAGCUGCCUUUCCAUCUUGCUGAUGGCAUGUGUGAGUGGUCUGCAGCUCCCCAGGGGUGCUGGGGGGAUUUUUUUCCCCCUUCGCCCAGCACAGCCUCAGGCCAAGUAAAUCUCAAGCCACGGGGAACGCGACUGCAGUUGCUGUAAACCAAGGUUAGAUGGUUCACGCUGUAAUCAGAGCUGGCAACUUCCAGUGAGCUUUUCUACUACUUAAGGGCAGAAUUGAUUGUAUGGUAGCAGAGCUGAGAUCAUGAAAGUGCAAUUUCUCUUGCACAGAUUCAUCUGGGCUAGUUAGCUGACCUGCUCUGCUAGUUAGCUGACCUGCUCUGCAAACUCUAAUUUUAAGAGAGUCAGAUAGACACUUGAGCUUACAGCUAAACCUUGAAGGAAUCUCUAGGAUCCUCCUAAAACCCCUCAGCAGAUUAAAAGUCCCACCACUCGUUGACUUCUGGAUGCGCGAUUCUGGCACUCAGAGAUUUGCCUGUUCAGUUAGCAGAUGUUGUCGUUGUUUGCAGUCUGCCUUCAUCUGUCUCUACUUCUUUCUGCUCAUCCAUAAUCAAGUUUUUGAGCUACAAAUGAGCUACUCAACAACCCACAGCCUUAUGUUCCUAUCAUAACCCAUUAACUCUGGGCAUGCAUUGGAGGAAGUUUCUAUUUCUAGAAGAGUGGGGAGAGGGUUAAUAGAAGUUGCCCAGACACAAAAGUCUUGUGUUAAAGCUGGUAUUAAUCACAUCACUCAAGGUGUUAUUGGUAGCAAUCAGCCAUGGUCACAGGCAGCAUAUUGACCUGUCCGACUGUAAAACAAUCCAUAACAUUUGAUUAUCCAUUUCUUGAAUUAACUAUUAAUUGUUCAUUAGCCUGUUAUAAAGUAUUCAUAUAUUCAUCUUUCAUGUAAGGCAUGACUGCAAUGCUAAAGUCUAGUAUUUGACCUCUAGAUUCAAACAACCCAAAAAUAAGUAAGAAAUCAGUUUUAGGAGCAUUCAUAUCUCUGAAGGAGCUGCACAUCAGCACCUAGUCCCAGCUUCUGUUGGAUGGGGGGGAUUCAUCUUCCCUGAUUUUCCCUGUGUCUUGCUGAGGUUGUUCAUCUGUGUUCCCUCCCUCUCCUAUUAAAGGAGAGACCGUGGCAUUAUCAGAGCAAAAUAGAUUGAACCCACGCAUUUCAGAUCCCAGGUUCAGGAUGGGUUGAACCACUCUGACUCCGGAGAUGGCUGACCUGGAGAAACCAAAGAGCUGAGGUGCAGUGAGACCACUGCCCACCACUCCCUGCUCUGAUCCAGCAAAGUCCUCCAGGAAAUGCUUCAACCAAAGGGCUGGAGGCUCUAAUGAGCCAUAGUGUUUAUCUAGGGCAGGGAACAUGUACCACAUCAUGCAACAGUGUCUUCUUAAGGGAAUGGUGUUCUUUACAGGGCACCUAAGCUGGCUGAGGGCGUUCAGAUGUCCACACAGGGCAUGAGGAGCUUACACACCAGCAUAGGACACUCAUUUCUAUCACAUCAGGAGGUCAAAGGAACCUUGAAAUUUCAGCAGGGCAUUCAAUUCAUGGGCACAUCCAUUGAAAGGCCUUUUAUCUUUGGCUGCACAACUUUCUCAUUCUCUCUGGCUCUUAAGACUAAUAACAGCAAAGCUAGCUGAUGCUUAUGAAAAUAUUUUGUCCGACUUCCAAGCUGGGCACUGCACUCUUUCUGAUGUGUUUAGACUCCAGUCAUCCUCCUUCAUCAUCUCCAUGUCCUACAUCAUCAGGCAGCAAUGUGUCACAAGAUUACACACCACGAAUUAAGCCUCACAACAUAGUGUUCUGAGCCAGGAACAUACGAGAAGUAAAUUUUGGCAAAUCACAUGAGGAGCAGAGAAGAACAGCAGAUGUUUCCAAUAGGCAAAUGUUCCCAGUUUGGCCUUGAGUCUGUACUCUGGACCAAUCUCUGGCACAACGCAGGAGGAUGUUAUUUGAAGGGAACAAUAGUGGCUUAGAAAUCAUUUUUGCUCAUCUUUUGAUCCCAGUGCUGUGCUGGUAUCUGCAAAUUCUGGGAGAGCUGACACAAAUCCCUUCCAACCUCAUCCAAAGACACCACAAAUUUCUUUAUUUUCUGUCCCUGACUCUCCAUGGCAAUCAUCCAACACCUGCAUUUGAGCCACUAGAGGCAAAGAUCCAAAACAUUCACCAGGGGAAUGGAGUGGCGAGAAGGCAAAAGACAAUCUGCCAUGAUAUAAGGUGGGUAAUUCCCUUUCAGUGUCUGAGCAAACACCCAGGCACCGUGGCAGCGAGCCUGACAGAUGGCUAGAGCGGAGCGAUGGGCUUGGAGUCACUGAGGCAUGGCCACCUUCUAUCUUCGAAAGGAAGACGUAGCCUGGAUGGUAGUUGUCUGCUUCUUUGGGACCAAGCUGACGGGAUGGAUGCUCACCUGGGGUGUGCUAAAACCAGGCAGGCUCCCCACCAGUUCUUCUUUUGCAUCCAAAAACGUCAGUCUGUGUGUCUGUCCUGCCUGCUUCUGGCCCACCAGCCCUUUAGGUGUUGGCACACGGAGCCAGGCGCUCGGGCCAAGGGCAGCUCAGGUGCCAAGUCCUCAGCUGCUGCUGCUCGGCACAGCCCCGCUGCGUGACUGCGGCUUGUCACGGGCGGCAGCAGAUCUGAUGUCCCCUCUGGGGAUGCCUUUGCUCUCCUUGGAUCCUGUCCUGUGAGGGGAAGCCACAGCUCCUGGUUUGGGGGUGAGAGAGCAGCUACCAGUGGUGGGGCCUUC